rnacentral:rRNA from 1 species
CAGCCGCCGCGGUAAUACCAGCAGCCCAAGUGGUGGUCGCGCUUAUUGGGCCUAAAGCGCUCGUAGCCUGGCCGGUAAGUUCCCCGUGAAAUCGGGUCGCCCAACGAUUCGGCUUGCGGGGAAUACUGUCGGUCUUGGGGCCGGGAGACGCCGAGGGUACUCCGGGGGUAGCGGUGAAAUGCUGUAAUCCUCGGGGGACUACCAGUGGCGAAGGCGCUCGGCGAUAACGGGCCUGACGGUGAGGGGCGAAAGCUGGGGGCGCGAACGGGAUUAGAUACCCCUGUAGUCCCUGUCUCUUAUA